AAUGAACGUUGGCGGCGUGGAUUAGGCAUGCAAGUCGGACGGGCCGCAAGGCCAGUGGCGCAAGGGUGAGUAAGGCGAAGGUAACCAACCCCGCGGGUGGGCAUAGCCGGGGGAAACUCCGGGUAAUUCCCAGCGACGUGACCUGUUGGCAUCAACGGGUCACCAAAGAUUUAUCGCCGCGGGACGGGCCUUCGUGGUAUUAGGUAGUUGGCGGGGUGACGGCCCACCAAGCCUGCGAUGCCUACCGGGCGUGCGAGCGUGGCCCGGCACACUGGGACUGAGACACUGCCCAGACUCCUACGGGAGGCUGCAGUCGAGAAUCUUCGGCAAUGGGCGCAAGCCUGACCGAGCGACGCCGCGUGGAGGACGAAGGCCUUCGGGUUGUAAACUCCUGUCGAGGGGGAGGAAGGCGCAAGCUUGACCGAUCCCUGGAGGAAGCACGGGCUAAGUUCGUGCCAGCAGCCGCCGUAAAAC
rnacentral:rRNA from 1 species